UGACCUCGAAUCAGGGUAGGACUACCCGCUGAACUUAAGCAUAUCAUAAGGCCGGAGAGAGAAGA
rnacentral:rRNA from 1 species